rnacentral:rRNA from 1 species
AGACAUACAGGUCGAGCAAGGAUGAAAAUCGGACUUAGUGAUCCGGUGGUUCUGCGUGGAAGGGCCAUCGCUCAACGGAUAAAAGCUACCCUGGGGAUAACAGGCUUAUCUCCCCCAAGAGUCCACAUCGACGGGGAGGUUUGGCACCUCGAUGUCGGCUCAUCACAUCCUGGGGCUGUAGUAGGUCCCAAGGGUUGGGCUGUUCGCCCAUUAAAGUGGUACGCGAGCUGGGUUCAGAACGUCGUGAGACAGUUCGGUCCCUAUCCGUCGCAGGCGUAGGAAAUUUGAGAAGACCUGUCCUUAGUACGAGAGGACCGGGAUGGACGUACCUCUGGUGUACCAGUUGUCCUGCCAAGGGCAUGGCUGGGUAGCUAUGUACGGAAUGGAUAAGCGCUGAAAGCAUCUAAGCGCGAAGCCAACUUCAAGAUAAGAUUUCCCACCGCAAGGGUAAGACCCCAGAAAGACUAUCUGGUUGAUAGGUCGAAGGUGUAAGUUCAGCAAUGUAUUUAGCUUAUCGAUACUAAUAGGUCGAGGACUUGACCAAU